GGAGGGACACGUGCAGACAGACAAGGGGCUUACACAGCAAUCCCUUUUAGGCUUGUCUGUUCUUUUACGGAGGACAUGCUGUAUGUCUUUUCUAAUCCCAGAAUACUUGGAUCAUUUUUCCUUGAUUAGAGUCCCUGGCUUUCCUUUUCCUCUCCCUCUGUGGAUGGAUGCACCAAGCAGCAGAAGUCCCAGAGCCUCCACGUUGCUCGCAACUCCCUGGAUGCCUCUCACCAGACGGGCUUUCUCCAGUCGGUCUCACUUACCCUGACUGUGCUCUGGUGUGGAAGGCAAAGGAGUGAAGAGUGAAGAGAAGGCCAAUCUCAGAACCCUGGCCACGCCUUUAGUUAUGGCUUUUCCUUUGGGGGGCUGGACUUGAAUAAGCUUAAGUUACCAUUUCCUCAGUUGGUG
rnacentral:lncRNA from 1 species